UACGGAGGGUGCAAGCGUUAUCCGGAUUCACUGGGUUUAAAGGGUGCGCAGGCGGAUAUGUAAGUCAGUGGUGAAAUCUCUGGGCUUAACCCGGAAAUUGCCAUUGAUACUAUAUAUCUUGAAUGCUGUGGAGGUAAGCGGAAUAUGUCAUGUAGCGGUGAAAUGCUUAGAUAUGACAUAGAACACCUAUUGCGAAGGCAGCUUACUACGCAGAUAUUGACGCUCAUGCACGAAAGCGUGGGGAUCAAACAGG
rnacentral:rRNA from 1 species